rnacentral:lncRNA from 1 species
GCUGUUAAAUGGGAAGGCUCUCCACAUUAUUUGCCUUUCCUGAGUGCUGGGUUUGAUUCACCUCCAUUCACUUAUGAGAGGUCAAUGUCUGGGCAGUGUGAUUUACACCAUUUGGGUGCUACCGAGUGGAUCAACAGUGACGUGAUGCCUCCUCUAUGAGGACAGUCCUGGAUAAGGCAAUGCCGUUAGUUUGUUUUUUCUAGCCUUUUUUUUUCUGCUCGUCUUGCCUUCCUCCUGUCUCGUUCCAUUUUUAUUUUGUAGGUUCAGUUCCCUCUCUGGACUAUCUUAAACUAACAGGACAGUUGGUUUCUGCCAAAAGGAAUGCUUCACAUUCUGAUUCUUGACACAAACAUGCUAUAUGGUUAGUGCAUUAAGGGCCCUAUAUAACACAAAAUGUGAGCAUACUCAUGCAUUCAGUGCACUCAUUUUUGGCUCUGUAUUGUGUAUAUUGGAUUUGAAAUGAAACAAUGACUCAGUAUGCAGUAUUAAUGCCAACUUGCUGCUUUAAACUUAAGGAAUUUCAAACUCACAUUGUGUGAACAGUAAAGGAAUUGUAGCCCCAGCAUAAUGUAACAGUGAAAAAUAAAAAUAUACAAUUCAGUUCUGAAAAACCUGUUCAUACCAACAUGUGGACACACUCUUGAAGCAGCAACUCGAUUAUUAAACCUCAGUGUUUUCAUUUUAGAUCUAGUGUGAUGGAACACAGAAAAGCCAAAAACAGCUGAAAAUGUGUCACAGCCUAAAAGCAGACCUUUGCACCACAGUGCUGGCGUGACUUCAGUCAGUCCUUUGUGACUCAGAUGUUACUGUUCAAUUCUCAUCUCUCUCUUAACUUCAUAGGGCUGAAUGAGAGCUUUGAACACAUCUGAACAUGUGGAGACUGAAAAGCCCAGAGUCUCCUACAGCAGCAAGUAGUUUAGAGGAAUAACAUAUGAAUCUACACACCGAAGGAAAAGUAAUAUCUUCUGACUUGAAGCUUCAAAUUGUCCAUGCCACUGGACAGCACAUUACAAGAGAACACUGGCAUAACACAACCUAUUGCUUCACCUAUACAGUAUCGAGCGAGCCUAAUCAAUUUAUAGGUUGGCCGAUAAAAAUCACCCAAUAUGAGACUUUCACUGACGUAUAUGGAAUAAACUGCAGAAAAGAUGUGCAUAAUUGUGUUAUUGGUUGUAUUUGUGUUUUCUUUUUAUUCAUAGGUUUAGGAUUCUACUGUAUAAAAUCAUUGUCAUUGUCCAUUACAUUUCUUUUUAAUACAUAUGUGUCAACUAAUAUAUUGUCAUCUGUAAUUUUUUU